rnacentral:rRNA from 1 species
UAGGGAAUAUUGGUCAAUGGGCGAGAGCCUGAACCAGCCAUGCCGCGUGCAGGAAGACGGCCUUCUGGGUUGUAAACUGCUUUUAUCAGGGAACAAAUAGGCCAUGCGUGGCAAGUUGAGUGUACCUGAAGAAUAAGCACCGGCUAACUCCGUGCCAGCAGCCGCGGUAAUACGGAGGGUGCAAGCGUUGUCCGGAUUUAUUGGGUUUAAAGGGUGCGUAGGCGGUUAUAUAAGUCAGUGGUGAAAUCCUACAGCUUAACUGUAGCACUGCCAUUGAAACUGUAUAACUUGAGUACAGACGAGGUAGGCGGAAUUUAUGGUGUAGCGGUGAAAUGCAUAGAUACCAUAAAGAACACCUAUAGCGAAGGCAGCUUACUAGACUGUAACUGACGCUGAUGCACGAAAGCGUGGGGAGCGAACAGGAUUAGAUACCCCCGUAGUCC